UACGAAGGGGGCUAGCGUUGCUCGGAAUCACUGGGCGUAAAGGGUGCGUAGGCGGGUCUUUAAGUCAGGGGUGAAAUCCUGGAGCUCAACUCCAGAACUGCCUUUGAUACUGAAGAUCUUGAGUUCGGGAGAGGUGAGUGGAACUGCGAGUGUAGAGGUGAAAUUCGUAGAUAUUCGCAAGAACACCAGUGGCGAAGGCGGUGCUCUGGGCCGGAACUGACGCUGAGGAGCGAAAGCGUGGGUAGCAAACAGG
rnacentral:rRNA from 1 species